rnacentral:misc_RNA from 1 species
GAAAUGCGAUAAGUAAUGUGAAUUGCAGAAUUCAGUGAAUCAUCGAAUCUUUGAACGCACAUUGCGCCCGCCAGUAUUCUGGCGGGCAUGCCUGUCCGAGCGUCAUUUCAACCAUCAAGCCCCCGGGCUUGUGUUGGGGACCUGCGGCUGCCCGCAGGCCCUGAAAACCAGUGGCGGGCUCGCUGUCACACCGAGCGUAGUAGCAAUCACCUCGCUCAGGGCGUGCUGCGGGUUCCGGUCGUUAAACAGCCUUACAAAACCCAAGGUUGACCUCGGAUCAGGUAGGAAGACCCGCUGAACUUAAGC